rnacentral:tRNA from 1 species
GCGCGAGUGGCGGAAUUGGUAGACGCGCUAGGUUGAGGGCCUAGUGUCUAAUAAACGUGGGGGUUCGAGUCCCCCCUCGCGCACCA